AUACGUAGGUGGCAAGCGUUGUCCGGAAUUACUGGGUGUAAAGGGAGCGUAGGCGGGAAGAUAAGUUGGACGUUUAAUCUAUCGGCUCAACCGAUAUCAGCGUUCAAAAAUGUUUUUCUUGAGUGAAGUAGAGGUAAGCGGAAUUCCUAGUGUAGCGGUGAAAUGCGUAAAUAUUAGGAGGAAAACCAGUGGCGAAGGCGGCUUACUGGGCUGUAACUGACGCUGAGGCUCGAAAGCGUGGGUAGCAAACAGGAUUAGAUACCCUGGUAGUCCACGCUGUAAACGAUGACAACUAAAUAUUGCCGCGAGGCAGUGUUGAAGCUAACGCAUUAAGUUGUCCGCCUGGGGAGUACGGUCGCAAGACUGAAACUUAAAGGAAUUGACGGGG
rnacentral:rRNA from 1 species